rnacentral:rRNA from 1 species
AUUGAACGCUGGCGGCAUGCCUUACACAUGCAAGUCGAACGGUAACAGGUCUUCGGAUGCUGACGAGUGGCGAACGGGUGAGUAAUACAUCGGAACGUGCCUAGUAGUGGGGGAUAACUACUCGAAAGAGUGGCUAAUACCGCAUGAGAUCCACGGAUGAAAGCAGGGGAUCGCAAGACCUUGUGCUACUAGAGCGGCCGAUGGCAGAUUAGGUAGUUGGUGGGAUAAAAGCUUACCAAGCCGACGAUCUGUAGCUGGUCUGAGAGGACGAUCAGCCACAAUGGGACUGAGACACGGCCAAGACUCCUACGGGAGGCAGCAGUGGGGAAUUUUGGACAAUGGGCGAAAGCCUGAUCCAGCAAUGCCGCGUGCAGGAUGAAGGCCUUCGGGUUGUAAACUGCUUUUGUACGGAACGAAAAGCCCUGGGUUAAUACCCUGGGGUCAUGACGGUACCGUAAGAAUAAGCACCGGCUAACUACGUGCCAGCAGCCGCAGUAA